rnacentral:rRNA from 1 species
AGUGAACGCUGGCGGUAGGCCUAACACAUGCAAGUCGAACGGCAGCACAGUAAGAGUUUGCUCUUACGGGUGGCGAGUGGCGGACGGGUGAGGAAUACAUCGGAAUCUACUUUUUCGUGGGGGAUAACGUAGGGAAACUUACGCUAAUACCGCAUACGACCUACGGGUGAAAGCAGGGGAUCUUCGGACCUUGCGCGAUUGAAUGAGCCGAUGUCGGAUUAGCUAGUUGGCGGGGGAAAGGCCCACCAAGGCGACGAUCCGUAGCUGGUCUGAGAGGAGGAUCGGCCACACUGGAACUGAGACACGGUCCAGACUCCUACGGGAGGCAGCAGUGGGGAAUAUUGGACAAUGGGCGCAAGCCUGAUCCAGCCAUACCGCGUGGGUGAAGAAGGCCUUCGGGUUGUAAAGCCCUUUUGUUGGGAAAGAAAAGCAGCAGGUUAAUACCCCGCUGUUCUGACGGUACCCAAAAAAUAAGCACCGGCUAACUUCGUG